rnacentral:rRNA from 1 species
AUACGUAGGGUGCGAGCGUUGUCCGGAAUUACUGGGCGUAAAGAGCUCGUAGGUGGUUUGUCGCGUCGUCUGUGAAAUUCCGGGGCUUAACUCCGGGCGUGCAGGCGAUACGGGCAUAACUUGAGUACUGUAGGGGAGACUGGAAUUCCUGGUGUAGCGGUGAAAUGCGCAGAUAUCAGGAGGAACACCGGUGGCGAAGGCGGGUCUCUGGGCAGUAACUGACGCGGAUGAGCGAAAGCAUGGGUAGCGAACAGGAUUAGAUACCCUGGUAGUCCAUGCCGUAAACGGUGGGCGCUAGGUGUAGGGGUCUUCCACGACUUCUGUGCCGUAGCUAACGCAUUAAGCGCCCCGCCUGGGGAGUACGGCCGCAAGGCUAAAACUCAAAGGAAUUGACGGGG